rnacentral:misc_RNA from 1 species
GCCAGUUUUAAUGGACGAGGAUUCAAAGAACGAGCUUGGGAAGGUGACAGUGAAUACAAUUUCGGGAAGCAACAGUGAUUCUGAAUUGAAGGGUGACGGGAAUAAUGUAUCUGAAGAGGGGACUAGCAGGGCACCUGUAAUUCCUAUUAAUAAGUCAUCGCCAAUUUUGGUUAAUGAUAGUAAUAGUAAGCCGCAGGAGAAGCCUCUUAGGAGGUUUACCAGGUCAUUGCUGAAGCCAAAGAAAGAGACAGUGAAAGAAUCCACUGCUAAAGAUGGUGUGGGAGGGAAUGAUGCGAAAGCAAUUUCAAGUAUUGAUGAUGCAGGUAGUUCCUCGGUUGCCAAUUCCCAUGCACUGUUGAAGACGGUGAAGAAUGAUGCAUCAAAGAAAUUUCCAUCGAAGUUGAAGGAUCUUCUUGAUUCGGGGAUAUUAGAGGGAUCAAAGGUGAAGUAUAUGCGGGGCUAUAAGGCGAGAGCUCCUGGAGAGACAGGGUUGCGCGGAGUUAUCAAGGGAUCGGGGAUUCUCUGUUUUUGUAGCGCUUGUGGAGGAAAUGAAGUUGUUACACCUUCUUUAUUUGAGCUGCAUGCUGGCAGUGCAAAUAAACGUCCACCAGAGUAUAUUUACCUGGAGAAUGGGAAUACACUUCGUGAUGUGAUGAAUGCAUGCAAGGAUGCAUCAUUGGAGACGGUGGAUGAAGCUAUUCGGCUUUCUAUUGGUUGUUCAUCUUUGCAGAAAUCUGCUUUCUGUCUGAACUGCAGAGGGUCAAUUGCUGGGGUUGAUGCUGGAAAAUCAAUGGUAUUAUGUAGUCAAUGCAUGGGGUUGAGAGAUUCUCAAGCGAGCUUAUCAGGGACAACAGAUUCAGACAAAGGAACUCCAAAACCACUUCCGGUUCCAAAGUCCUCUGACAGUGUGUCAAAGUGUACCUCGUCACGGAGCAAGAGUCAGGGGAGACUUACAACAAAGGAUUUGCGGAUGCAUAAGUUGGUUUUCGAGGAAGAUGUCUUGCCGGAUGGAACUGAAGUUGCUUAUUAUUCUAGAGGACAGAAAUUGCUGGUUGGAUACAAGAAGGGUUUUGGCAUAUUUUGUUCUUGCUGCAAUGCUGAGGUCAGCCCCUCCCAAUUUGAAGCCCAUGCUGGUUGGGCAUCACGUCGAAAACCUUAUCUGCACAUUUACACAUCUAAUGGUGUGUCUCUUCAUGAAUUGGCAAUAUCACUAUCCAAAACUCGGAAGUUCUCUGCCCAUGAAAAUGAUGACCUGUGCCAAAUUUGUCGAGAUGGUGGGAAUCUUUUGUGUUGUGAUAUAUGUCCAAGGGCUUAUCAUAAAGAGUGUCUUUCUCUACCAGCAAUUCCGGAUGGUAAAUGGUAUUGCAAAUUUUGCUUGAAUACCUUCCAGAAAGAAAAGUUUGUGGAGCGUAAUGCCAAUGCAAUAGCAGCAGGAAGAGUUGCAGGAAUUGAUCCAAUAGAACAGAUAACAAGGCGAUGCAUUCGUAUUGUCAAGACACUAGAAUCUGAAUUUGGUGGAUGUGUGUUAUGCAGGG